rnacentral:rRNA from 1 species
AGUGGCGAACGGCUGANGAACACGUGGUGCCUACCCCGGUGUGGGGGAUACGGGCCGAGAGGUGCGCUAUCCCGCAUACGCUCUACGGAGGAAAGCUUCGGCGCACCGGGACGGGCCUGCGGNCCAUCAGGUAGUUGGUAGGGUAACGGCUUACCAAGCCCAUGACGGGUCCCUGGUCUGAGAGGACGAGCAGGCAGACUGUGACUGAGACACGGGCCAGACUCCUACGGGAGGCAGCAGCAAGGAAGUGGCGGCAAUGGGCGCAAGCCUGAGCGAGCAACGCCGCGUGCAGGACGACGGCCUUCGGGUUGUAAACUGCUUUUGACGGGGAAGAUAAUGACGGUACCCGUCGAAUAAGCCCCGGCUAACUCCGUGCCAGCAGACGCGGUAAGACGGAGGGGGCAAGCGUAGUCCGGACUUACUGGGCGUAAAGCGCGCGCAGGCGGCGCGGAGCGUCGGUGCUGAAAGCGCUCGGCUUAACCGAGCGAGGCGUGCCGAUACGACCGGGCUCGAGGCA